rnacentral:rRNA from 1 species
AUUGAACGCUGGCGGCAGGCCUAACACAUGCAAGUCGAGCGAGCGGCGGACGGGUGAGUAAUGUCUGGGAAACUGCCUGAUGGAGGGGGAUAACUACUGGAAACGGUAGCUAAUACCGCAUACCAUCAGAUGUGCCCAGAUGGGAUUAGCUAGUAGGUGGGGUAACGGCUCACCUAGGCGACGAUCCCUAGCUGGUCUGAGAGGAUGACCAGCCACACUGGAACUGGGACACGGUCCAGAUCCCUACGGGAGGCAGCGGUGGGAAAUAUGGCACAUGGGGCGCAAGCCUGAUGCAGCCAUGCCGCUGGUAUGAAGAAGGCCUUCGGUUUGUAAAGUACUUUCAGCGGGGAGGCGUUACCCGCAGAAGAAGCACCGGCUAACUCCGUGCCAGCAGCCGCGGUAAUU